rnacentral:rRNA from 1 species
GACGAACGCUGGCGGCGCGCUUAACACAUGCAAGUCGAACGGAAAGGCCUGCUUUCCCUUGUGGAUUGCGGGUACUCGAGUGGCGAACGGGUGAGUAACACGUGAGUGAUCUGCCCCCAACUUGGGUAUAAGCCUGGGAAACUGGGUCUAAUUCCCGAUAGGACUGCAGGGUGGUGCCUGUGGUGGAAAACGAUUUUCUAGUGGUUGGGGAUGAGCUCGCGGCCUAUCAGCUUGUUGGUGGGGUAAUGGCCUACCAAGGCGGCGACGGGUAGCCGGCCUGGGAGGGUGGACGGCCACAUUGGGACUGAGAUACGGCCCAGACUCCUACGGGAGGCGGCAGUGGGGAAUAUUGCACAAUGGGCGGAAGCCUGAUGCAGCGACGCCGCGUGGGGGAUGGCGGCCUUCGGGUUGUAAACUCCUUUCGACCGCGAGGAAGCCACCUGGUUGGAAGGGUGGUGACGGUAGUGGUAGAAGAAGCACCGGCUAACUACGUG